ACUACCAGCCAGGCACUGGCCAAGGCACUGAGAGUACAGAGAUGAACAAGACAGACAACUCGCUGAUCUUAUGGAGCUUACAUGGAGAAAGACUGUCCAGGCAGAGGGAAAAUCAUGUGCAAAGUCCCUGAGGCAGAGAUGGUUGAUGUGUUACUGAGACAGAAAAAGAAAAUCCAUGUGACUAUAUCCUAGUAGAUGAGGGAGCAUUAUAGGAACAGGGGUUGGAGAGAGAGACGAUCCAAGUCUCAUAGGAUCUGGAGGCCUUGUGAGGGAGAAUGUACUUUAAUCUAAGUACCAUAGAAAAUUAUUAGAGAAUUUAAUCAGGAAAACAUAUCAUCUAAUUCACUUUAAAAAAAACACACACACAUUUUGGCUGUCAUGGACCGUGAACACUGUCUCAUAUUUUAUUUCUCUCCCUAUAUCCCUAUUGUAAUAUGAAGCACUGCCUUGAUAACUAAACCAAAGAAGCCAUCUUAAUGUUUCCAGGCUGGGUCAUCCUUAGCAGGGGAGGCUGGAAGCUGUACAGAUAUUCAAGGCAGACACUGGAGCAGAAGGCUCUGGAAGGCCCAAGCUCAAAGAACAGAGUGCCCACCAUUCACCUCUACACAGAGUAUCAUGUUAGGCUCUUUAUCCAACCAGCCUUAAUCAAAUUCCAUGAAGAAUGUUCCAAUAACACCAUUCAGAUAACGUCGUUCUUCCAUACACAACUGACUAUAAUUAGCCUUUUACUGUAGAAGAUCUCAGGACAGCUUAAGUUGCUCUCUUUUCCAUACAGGCUAGAGUGACUUACAGGAAUUUCUCUUCUAACUAGCCAUUGUAUUCAUUCUACUUUUUACAGGGAGGUGGGAGGGCUAAAAAGAAAGGGAUCUAGGGUUCUAGAAGGAAUGGUGGGGGAGCAGGUGGCCAGCAAACACGGGGUGUGGCAGCUGGAUAAUACCUCUUUGAAUACUUCGUUUUAGCUUGUUACACAGAUCCACGCGGGGAUUAUCUACAUGCUCUUCUACAGAUCCCGGGCUUUGUUCUGGAGAAGGAAGGCCUCUGCUAAGAUCCAACGGUACUUUACCAGUGUGCGGCGGUGGGGAUGCAGCAGGGCUGUGGGUGGUGGUAGGGCUGCUGGACGCUGAGCAGGUGGUCAGGUCCAAUGCUCCUAUCCUUGAGUUCAAUGGAGAAGUCAAGGACAGCUUUCUGGCCCUCACUGGGGAGGACGUCCUGGACACAGCCAGUGGUGGUGGGGAAGAGAAUUUGCGACACAGGCGUGGGGAUUUGCCAUCUACCAAAUGUUCACCUCUACUGUUCUGGCUGGUAGCAAAAAACAAUUCUAAUGACCUAAAAAUAAGAGCAGAAGCUAUUAACAGAUUGUAGCCAAGUGAAAACGAUUCCCCUGAUGUUAUUUAAGAACAUACUCUCUACAUUAAAAGGCCACAACAUCAUGACACUUCUGUUGUCUUCAUUUAACACUACCUAUAUACC
rnacentral:lncRNA from 1 species